CCUCCCACUACAGUUCCUUCUACCCCCACACCCCCUACGUCUCUCUCCUACCCUCUGUUUUCUGACCUCCCACUACAGUUCAUUCUCCCCCCACACCCCCUCAGUCUCUCUCCUACUCUCGUUUUUCUGACCUCCCACUACAGUUCAUUCUACCCCACACCCCCUCAGUCUCUCUCCCCACCCUCAUACAUCCCACUCUCACUUUUACCUUCCCACUCCAUUCGUGCAAGCCGUCUUUCUCUGUCCAUCCUCCCACUCCAGUUCUCGGUCACCCUCCCACUCCCGUUCUCUGUCACCCUCCCACUCUGGUUCCUCUCACCCUCCCACUCCAGUUCUCUCUCACCCUCCCACUCCAGUUCUCUCUACCCUCCCACUCCAGUUCUUGUCUCCCCUCUCACCCUCCCACUCCAGUUCUUGUCUCCUCUCUCACCCUCCCACUUCUGUUCUUGUCCCCUCUUCACCCACUCCAGUUCUUGUCCCUCUCUUCACCCACUCCAGUUCUUGUCCCCUCUCUCACCUACUCCAGUUCUUGUUUCUUCUCUCACCCUCCCACUCCAGUUCUUGUCUCCUCUCUCACCCUCCCACUCCAGUUCUUGUCUCUCUCUCACCUCCCACUCCAGUUCUUGUCUCCUCUCUCACCCUCCCACUCCAGUUCUUGUCUCCUCUCUCACCCUCCCACUCCAGUUCUUGUCUCCCUCUCACCCUCCCACUCCAGUUCUUGUUCUCCUCUCUCACCCUCCCACUCCAGUUUUGUCUCCUCUCUCCACCCUCCCACUCCAGUUCUUGUCUCCUCUCUCACCCUCCCACUCCAGUUUUGUCUCCUCUUCAACCCUCCCCCUCCAGUUCUUGUCUCCUCUCUCACCCUCCCACUCCAGUUCUUGUAUCCUCUCCACCCUCCCACUUCCAGUUCUUGUCUCCCUUCUCACCCUCCCACUCCAGUCGUGCAUGCUGUCAGGGAAGUUGCAGGACUCGCUGUCCGAGGGUGUCUCCAGGGCCUCCAGGUUGAUGUCCAGCUCCGUGUCAUCUUCGUCGGGUUGAGAGGGCGCGCGCAGAGUACCCGGGUCCCCUGACUUCACACUGCGGUCCGCUUGAGUCGGUACGGGACAGGUCAGGCUGAGGGUGGGCGCCACCAGACGCUUCUUCCUUAUGGGGUUUUCUGCAGGCGCCAGGCUGGUGGGUGGAGCUGGGGGAGUAGCACACAAAACAGGUAUUGUGGGAUAUGGUGCAGUACUUUUGGAAUUAGGCCUUUGCAGACAUUGGUAUUAGGGAUAUACCUGGUCUCUCUGCAUUUUCUCCUUGGGUCUCAGGACUAUGGGAUCUUCAGGAAGAGGUCUAGGGGGGGAAUACAAAAUAGUUGAAAAAGCUUAGUACUGCUUUCUUACCCGGUCAUAACAAAAAAAGCAUUCUUUGCAGGGACCUAAAAUAUCAUUUAAGAUGUCAUGGUGAACAGGCUGGGGUUUACCGUUCAGGGGGUAGGUUAAAGGUCAGGGUUUAGGUUUUUCUCUGACCUGGGGACUCCUCAUCCUGCCAUUCCUCCCUCAGCUCCAUGUCCUGGAUGUGGAAGCAGCCUUCGCCCCCUCUGGACUCCUACAGAACAGACAGCAUGUCACAGUACAUUCAAUAGUCUUGCUGUACAUGCUGUAAUAAUCAAAAGAUUCAACACACAGUCUAUAGUCCUUAAGAGCUCAAAUAAGACACAGUCUGACGACACUCUGAUGAAGGCCACUGCCCAAACG
rnacentral:lncRNA from 1 species